AUUAUAGUGCAAUAAUUCUACCUAUUAAUACCUAUGUUGAGCCCCAAGCAGAUCUGACUAAACCAUAUGUUCUAGAAGGCACCCAGUCUCAACCCGAAGACAUCAAAAACUAGAGAACUGAUCACUUCCUUUGGUAGUUUGUUUCAUUUGUCACACCUUCACAUUAUAAAAAUGGGCCUUAUUUCCAAUUGUAAGCUGUUGUAUUUCCUCUUCCUUUCAAGUCAUUUCAUUCUAACCAUUGUGACUGCCAUAUUUACCUAGGUCUCAAGUUUUCUGGAUAUUGUUUAUCACUUCAUCAGCCUUUUGGUCUGCUACGUCAAUAUUCCUUUGCAUCAGCUGUAUCCAUUCCUGUAUUUCUUCCCAUGUUGCUAUUCCCAUUUGGUAGUCCACUAUUCCACCUGAAAUUCUUUUGUCAAAUGGCAAUAUUAAACUCAACCUGAGGCAUUACAUAUGAGAUAUUACACAGGGGUAGAAAUCCACAGUAUCGUUUACAACAGCAGCAGCAGCAGCAGCAGCAGCAGCAGCAGCAGCAGCAGCAGCAGCAAUGUAUUUUGGAAUUCUUAACAGGAAACAGAAUAAGAGUUGCAGCAAUCAAGCCACCCCCACAGAACAGGUUCUGCAUCUCAUGCAAAAUGUUCUUGGCAGCAGAUCUUCAGCUGAUGUAAAGAAGCAUAGUUCCACUGAAGCCAACUGAACUGCAUCUGUUUAUUCCAGCUGAAGAUUUUCUCCAUGAUAUCAGCCGACAUGGACUGAUUCUGCUUCCAAUGAAGUCAACAGCAAAAUUCUCAUCGGUUUCAAAGACGACAGGAUGGGACCCAAAGUAUAAAUAUAUUUAAAGCAUUGAAAAAAAAGGGAGGGUAAAGUCAUCAAAGAGUUAAUAGCAUGUUAAAACAGAUGGGCGGAAGGAGGCCAAUUCUAGUGUAAGGCAUCAUUUCACUAAAAGAAAUGUUAGUGUUGGAAGAGCUAUGAACAGCACAGUGUUUUGCUUUGCCAUGUGUAGCCUCCAGAAAACAAAAGGAAGGGUGUGACUGAAAUGAAGACCGGCAGAAUGUAAUUUUGUCCUUUGAGUGUAAACAGAUUUAAUGCAACAAAAAUCAAUGAGGAAACUCUCCAAAGGAGAGUAUUUUAAUGUGUUAUCAUAUUUCACAUAGAUUUCAUAAAAAUUCAAUUUCAAUUAUAGCAUAGUUUACAAACAGCACUGUGCCUCCCUGGAAAACAUAUGGCCAUCAAAACUUCAAACAAAAUACUGCCAAAGUCUCUCAUAAAAAAUAAAUAGCCAUAAG
rnacentral:lncRNA from 1 species